GAACCAUGCAUCAGACAUUUUCUAAUUAAUUCCUUGAAACGUUCCCAAGCUUCAUAUAAUGUCUCAUCUUCAGAUUGUCUGAACGAUCUAAUAACGUUCUUUAGCUU
rfam:Gossypium arboreum cultivar AKA8401 contig_76760_1, whole genome shotgun sequence.